rnacentral:rRNA from 1 species
UGCGUAGGUGGCGAGGUAAGUCGGAUGUGAAAGCUCGGAGCUCAACUCCGAAAUGGCAUUGGAAACUACCUUGCUCGAGGGUUGGAGGGGGGACUGGAAUGCUUGGUGUAGCAGUGAAAUGCGUAGAUAUCAAGCGGAACACCAGUGGCGAAGGCGAGUCCCUGGACAACUCCUGACACUGAGGCACGAAAGCUAGGGGAGCAAACG